UUUUACUUCACAAGAAAAGGUUGGCCGAGGUCCCUCCUCUAGCGCAAGGAUUUCUACUGCAACGAUUGCAACACACACAGGUAAGAGACGUUCUAUGCUCAUCUCCUCUCUACUUCAUGUUGCUUCAGGUUUUGCCCAGAUGGAUGCAUAUUGUGUAUUUGAAUUGGAUCAGGAGCGAUUCAAAUUUUAAGUAUUAUUAGUAAGUCUCUCUAAUAUUGUAUGCUUAUGGGCUCUUCUUUUGGGCAACAAAGCAAAGAACAGUGGAACAAGGUCCUUAAUUUUCGUUGCACGUUGGAGAUGGAUUCAAUUGAGCGACAAAUCUUAAUCCAAGUCAGAAGGCAAUAACCACCAUUAAUUUCUUUUCUUCUCCUAACAAAAGAAUCUUCUACGAAUCUUACCAAUUUCUAUGAUGACCCAUGGAGGGAGAUCAACUGUCAUAACAAGAUAGACCAUCAUAGAGCUGAGAACAAAAUGCACUAUAGCUUUUUGACCAACCCGAUUCAUUAACUCAGACUUCCAACUUUGAAGGUGAUCUGCAAUCUUGUUCUCUACAUAAAAACAGGAUUACAUUGAUUCAACUCUGAUCUGGUGUUUGACAUUUGUUUUCCCUCUACAUUAGUUUAUCGUUAUUAUAUUUGUAUAGAUUCAUAUUCUUGAGACUAACCUAAUCAACAUUCUUUACAUAAUAAUAUUAUAAGGAGGAUUAAUUUCAUAUACAAUACUAUAUAUAAUGAGAUAAAUCAUUUGGCCUUACGAUAUGUGUAAGAAAUAAUGCUUUGAUAAUUGGCAGCCUAUCAAGAGUUUCAUUAGUGUAGAACAAUUUUUUUGGCUGUUAACAUAGUUUAUAACAUUUGAUGUCGUAAUUUGUUUUGGAAGAAAAUUUAAUCUCAACUUAGAAUUUUUUACCGACAGGUUUAUGGUCUUUUUAUAUCUACAGGUUGUGGAAACUGAGAUCAUUGUAACUCAAAUGAGAGCUUGGCACUUAGCAUAUAGACGCCUCUAGAACCAAUCUAGAAUUACUGUGAGGUAAUUUUAUAUCUUGUUCUGUAAGUUGGAGAAUUAAUAGCUAGCUAGCAUAUGCUUCCUUAAUGAUGUUUUCUUUUUCCAUGCAUCUUCAUAUUACCAAACCCUUUUCUUGCAGGAAAAACGGAUAUAGAGUGAUAAAAGGCAUUAAUGUAAGUACUACAUAAAUGUACUACUUGUAUUUUUUUUAAUAAUCAAUGCUUCAAAAGUCUAUAUAGAUGCUGACGGGUGUCAUGGUUUUUUCAUUAUUGUAAGUUUGUUACAAGCAAGUGCUUUCCCUCACACAACUUCACCUUUUCUUUGCAUGUUUAUUACUUUUGUUUGCUGGUUUUGACUUACAGCGAAUUGUGUAUGCAACUACUGUAGCAUAUCAGUGACCUUCCGAGAAGAUACAAUGGUGUUCUUAGUAGUAACGCUGCUUGAUUUCUAUAGUUGGAGUCAUCAAACAGCUAACAUUUACACUUGAACUAUUUGGUGAAAUGCUUGGGAGAAAGAGGUCAGCAAGAAUGGAGUCAUGGAACAUCGGCAGGAGGGGUGCAGCAGUGGCAAC
rnacentral:lncRNA from 1 species